rnacentral:rRNA from 1 species
UACGUAGGGGGCCAGCGUUGUUCGGAAUUACUGGGCGUAAAGGGCUCGUAGGCGGCCAACUAAGUCACACGUGAAAUCCCCAGGCUUAACCUGGGAACUGCGUGUGAUACUGGAUGGCUUGAAUUCGGGAGAGGGAUGCAGAAUUCCAGGUGUAGCGGUGAAAUGCGUAGAUAUCUGGAGGAAUACCGGUGGCGAAGGCGGCAUCCUGGACCGACAUUGACGCUGAGGAGCGAAAGCUAGGGGAGCAAACGGG